rnacentral:tRNA from 1 species
GCGGACGUGGCGGAAUUGGUAUACGCGCUAGAUUUAGGUUCUAGUGUCUUUACGGCGUGAGAGUUCGAGUCUCUCCGUCCGCA